AAAAGAUGGUUCUGCUAUCACUCUUGGAUGGACCUGCGGUGCAUUAGCUAGUUGGUAAGGUAACGGCUUACCAAGGCAAUGAUGCAUAGCCGAGUUGAGAGACUGAUCGGCCACAUUGGGACUGAGACACGGCCCAAACUCCUACGGGAGGCAGCAGUAGGGAAUCUUCCACAAUGGACGCAAGUCUGAUGGAGCAACGCCGCGUGAGUGAAGAAGGGUUUCGGCUCGUAAAGCUCUGUUGGUAGUGAAGAAAGAUAGAGGUAGUAACUGGCCUUUAUUUGACGGUAAUUACCUAGAAAGUCACGGCUAACUACGUGCCAGCAGCCGCGGUAAUACGUAGGUGGCAAGCGUUGUCCGGAUUUAUUGGGCGUAAAGCGAGUGCAGGCGGUUCAGUAAGUCUGAUGUGAAAGCCUUCGGCUCAACCGGAGAAUUGCAUCAGAAACUGUUGAACUUGAGUGCAGAAGAGGAGAGUGGAACUCCAUGUGUAGCGGUGGAAUGCGUAGAUAUAUGGAAGAACACCAGUGGCGAAGGCGGCUCUCUGGUCUGCAACUGACGCUGAGGCUCGAAAGCAUGGGUAGCGAACAGGAUUAGAUACCCUGGUAGUCCAUGCCGUAAACGAUGAGUGCUAAGUGUUGGGAGGUUUCCGCCUCUCA
rnacentral:rRNA from 1 species